CCGAGGCCUGUACCACAGGGGAUGCUGUCUGAGCUCUGUGGCCGGUGCUUUUGUUGAGCACUUGAAGAGGUCCCUGAGAAUAACCUUAUCAAAAAGGAGCUAAGUAGGAAGAGGUCCCACUCAGCAUAUGGAGUCUACAUGGUUGACACUGGGUAGUGGAGUUUAGAACCAUAGGACCAACUGCUCAGCAUCAACCCUUUCUUCUGGGAACUACCUCUGCUCACAUGUGCUCUAGCCACCCAGGAGGGAGUUGGCAUAUUCUUACACAUCACCCCACCGCUUGACCUUCAGUUGAACAAGCUGGAGCCACUAUUGCAUACGUUAGCCUGAAUAGAAGACUGAUCUCAAUUCAUAAUUAGAAGUAAGAAGACAACUUUUAAUGUGUUAAAUCUGAAGAAAGGAAGACUAGUGAUGAAACUGUAUCAGUACCCCAGCACCAUAUUAUCACUCAAAGGACAU